rnacentral:rRNA from 1 species
AUGCCUCUUGUCAUUCAUUUGAUUCCUAGUAUAAAACUGAUGAUUUGGUCGUCUGACACAGAUACGGAAGACGGUGAGGCUCGUCGAAGCGGAUUCUCCUCUGUAGAUGGUAGUAAGGCAUCGACAUUACGACAAGCUGUCCUCAGGUACCUUCGGAGUUGUAGCAGUGCCAUCGCGGUUGGAAAAAGAACUACAGCUGCACAUGGGAGUAAUGCACGCCAUGUGAGCUCGUCGGAAGCAAAUGUAGCACCUCCUACAGCUGCCAGGGGCGUCAGCCUUACAGAGCAGCAAGAAGCAGCUCGAGCACAUGUGUUGGAUGUGCAAACAAACUGCCAGCCUGGUCCUUCUUUCCGUCGGGAUGAUGGAGGUAAAUCUCCAGAAAUGUGA